rnacentral:rRNA from 1 species
GCAGCCGCGGUAAUUCCAGCUCCAAUAGCGUAUAUUAAAGUUGUUGCAGUUAAAAAGCUCGUAGUUGAAUUUCGAGAUCAGUACGCUGGUCGUGCCUUCGGUAUGCACUGGUGUCACUGGUUUCUCCCUUCUGAAGAACCGUCAUGUCAUUAAGUUGGUGUGGCGGGGAAUCAGGACUGUUACUUUGAAAAAAUUAGAGUGUUUAAAGCAGGCUCGCGCUUGAAUACAUUAGCAUGGAAUAAUGAAAUAGGACGUUUGACCCUAUUUUGUUGGUUUCUAGGAUCGACGUAAUGAUUAAUAGGGAUAGUUGGGGGCAUUAGUAUUCAAUUGUCAGAGGUGAAAUUCUUGGAUUUAUUGAAGACUAACUACUGCGAAAGCAUUUGCCAAGGAUGUUUUCAUUAAUCAAGAACAAAAGUUAGGGGAUCGAAGACGAUCAGAUACCGUCGUAGUCUUAACCAUAAACUAUGCCGACUAGGGAUCGGAUGAUGUUAAUUUUUUAAUGACUCA